AGGAGGUACCACUGGACAAUGCUUAGAGGAAAUGACUGCAGGAGGGGAAUUAGCUCAUGUUAUGUGCAGGUGGAGAAGGAGUAACAUCACCAGAAAGCAGCAAGCUGCCAGACCACCAAAGGACCCUAGAGGCCACUGCAUGCUGUGACAAGGGCCUGGAUGGUGACACAUCUGUUUCAAGCUGCCUGCCUGAAUACUGAGGCCUUCAGCGGUACCUUCCCUUUGAUUACAGCAAGAAAAUCUUUACAUCGGUCUCAUAGCCAUUUAACAUGUAAUGUAUGUAACCACUCAAAUUCGUAGAAACUUCUACAAACACAAGAACUGACUUAUAUUCACAGCCCAAUUUGGAUAUUUUGACUAAUCACAGCAGAUCUUUUUCAGAGCUGAUCUGAUUGGUCAAAAGACCAAUUUGUGGAACAAAAAGCUCAGACUUGGGCUGCUUAUUUUAACACAGCCUAUUUGUCCUGUCAGUCUUGUCUGGGAUAAAUAUUUUAAUUGGCACACCUGUGUGAUGUCCUUUAUACAUUAAUAAACAUUUAUUCACCCUGGA
rnacentral:lncRNA from 1 species